rnacentral:rRNA from 2 species
AAAUUGAAGAGUUUGAUCAUGGCUCAGAUUGAACGCUGGCGGCAGGCCUAACACAUGCAAGUCGAACGGUAACAGGAAGCAGCUUGCUGCUUUGCUGACGAGUGGCGGACGGGUGAGUAAUGUCUGGGAAACUGCCUGAUGGAGGGGGAUAACUACUGGAAACGGUAGCUAAUACCGCAUAACGUCGCAAGACCAAAGAGGGGGACCUUCGGGCCUCUUGCCAUCGGAUGUGCCCAGAUGGGAUUAGCUAGUAGGUGGGGUAACGGCUCACCUAGGCGACGAUCCCUAGCUGGUCUGAGAGGAUGACCAG